rnacentral:rRNA from 1 species
CACGUAGGGCGCGAGCGUUGUCCGGAAUUAUUGGGCGUAAAGAGCUCGUAGGCGGCCUGUUGCGUCCGCUGUGAAAGCCCGGGGCUUAACCCCGGGUCGGCAGUGGAUACGGGCAGGCUAGAGGUAGGUAGGGGAGAAUGGAAUUCCCGGUGUAGCGGUGAAAUGCGCAGAUAUCGGGAGGAACACCGGUGGCGAAGGCGGCUCACUGGUCCGGUACUGACGCUGAGGUGCGAAAGCGUGGGGAGCAAACAGG